UCCGGUUUGUCACCGGCAGUCUCCCUAGAGUGCCCUUGCGUAGCAACUAGGGACAAGGGUUGCGCUCGUUGCGGGACUUAACCCAACAUCUCACGACACGAGCUGACGACAGCCAUGCAGCACCUGUGUAACGGCUCUCUUUCGAGCACCCUCAAAUCUCUUCAAGGUUCCGUCCAUGUCAAGGGUAGGUAAGGUUUUUCGCGUUGCAUCGAAUUAAUCCACAUCAUCCACCGCUUGUGCGGGUCCCCGUCAAUUCCUUUGAGUUUUAAUCUUGCGACCGUACUCCCCAGGCGGUCUACUUCACGCGUUAGCUGCGUUACCAAGUUAAUUAAAACCCGACAACUAGUAGACAUCGUUUAGGGCGUGGACUAC
rnacentral:misc_RNA from 1 species